GAUCGCUAUGUAUACUAUACGUAGAGUUGAUGAGGUAAGUUUACAAAACUAUGACACAUCUCUCCCUCCUAGAGCCCAAGUAUCAUAUACGGCUCAAAAUAAAGAGCCUUAAGUACUAGAAUAAAAGCAAAUUCAAUCAUAGAUGUUACGCUAGUCAUACUUGUAAUUUUUUUCUCUCAUCCGU
rnacentral:antisense_RNA from 1 species